rnacentral:tRNA from 1 species
GUCCCUGUAGCUCAGUAGGAUAGAGCGACCCCCUCCUAAGGGGUAGGCCGUUGGUUCGAUUCCAAUCAGGGACGCCA